rnacentral:rRNA from 1 species
UUGAACGCUGGCGACAUGCCUUACACAUGCAAGUCGAACGGCAGCACGGGUGCUUGCACCUGGUGGCGAGUGGCGAACGGGUGAGUAAUACAUCGGAACAUGUCCUGUAGUGGGGGAUAGCCCGGCGAAAGCCGGAUUAAUACCGCAUACGAUCUACGGAUGAAAGCGGGGGACCUUCGGGCCUCGCGCUAUAGGGUUGGCCGAUGGCUGAUUAGCUAGUUGGUGGGUAAAGGCCUACCAAGGCGACGAUCAGUAGCUGGUCUGAGAGGACGACCAGUCACACUGGGACUGAGACACGGCCCAGACUCCUACGGGAGGCAGCAGUGGGGAAUUUUGGACAAUGGGCGAAAGCCUGAUCCAGCAAUGCCGCGUGUGUGAAGAAGGCCUUCGGGUUGUAAAGCACUUUUGUCCGGAAAGAAAUCCUUGGCCCUAAUACGGUCGGGGGAUGACGGUACCGGAAGAAUAAGCACCGGCUAACUACGUG